ACCCUGGAUAGCUCAAUUGGUUAGAACGUGGUGCAGAUAACGCCAAGGUUGCAGGUUCAAUCCUGGUAUAGGACA